rnacentral:lncRNA from 1 species
GUGACGUGAGAUGUAACUGUCCAUCCAAUCAACCAUCAGUGAAAUGUGUUGACAUUUCUGGAGAAGACUGCACUACAAAUGUCCCAAUUGGGGAAAAAUGUGGAGACAAACGGGUCGAUACAUCUAUCAGGCAGUUUCACCAAUCAGACGUGGACAGAGCGCCUGUCUAUCUCCGGUUGGUCGACAGAGACCGUUUGGCCACAAACGGCUACGGCACCAAGUGGGAUGCGCCGUUUGACCCGGGGACAGCGAGGGUUACCACACCUACACCACAGAAACAGACCAGGAUCUCACAGCCCACUACACAUCGUAGGAGUUCAGUUGUCCCAGCCCACUACACUACUGGGGAAGUUUGGUAGUUGUCUGUCCCAGCCCACUACACUACUGGGGAAGUUUGGUAGUUGUCUGUCCCAGCCCACUAUACAUCAUAGGGAACUUAGUUUAGUAGUUCACAGCCCACUAUACCAGCUGAGUAGUUUCCUCCCCCAGCCCACUACCAGCCCGGUAGGAGAUGGCUCUGACAGCCCACUACACUUCCAUAGGCCACUCAGUAGUUGUUCACCCCCCCCCCCCCCCCCCCCCCCCCCCAGUCCCUUUUUACACCCCAGAAGUUCACAGCUAACUAUACCAACACGCAGGCCAGUAGUUGCCUCUCCCAGCUCACUACAUUACACAAGCAGUUAA